rnacentral:rRNA from 1 species
UUGGAGGGCAAGUCUGGUGCCAGCAGCCGCGGUAAUUCCAGCUCCAAUAGCGUAUAUUAAAGUUGUUGCAGUUAAAAAGCUCGUAGUUGAAUUUCGGAAUCUGUCCAUCGGUCGGGCUUCACUGUUCGUACUGGUGUGGUGGGUUCUUACCUUCUGAAUAACCAGCAUGCCAUUAAUUUGGUGCGUUGGGGAAGCAGGACUAUUACCUUGAAAAAAUUAGAGUGCUCAAAGCAGGCUAGUGCCUGAAUACAUUAGCAUGGAAUAAUAAAAUAGGACGGCAUGGUUCUAUUUUGUUGGUUUCUAGGAUCACCGUAAUGAUUAAUAGGGAUAGUUGGGGGCAUUAGUAUUCAAUUGUCAGAGGUGAAAUUCUUGGAUUUAUUGAAGACUAACUUCUGCGAAAGCAUUUGCCAAGGAUGUUUUCAUUAAUCAAGAACGAAAGUUAGGGGAUCGAAGACGAUCAGAUACCGUCGUAGUCUUAACCAUAAACUAUGCCGACUAGGGAUCGGACGAUGUUAAUUUUAUAAUGACUCGUUCGGCGCCUUACGGGAAAC